ACGCUCGACACCUACGCAGCAGUGGGGAAUAUUGCACAAUGGGGGAAACCCGUGAUGCAGCGACGCCGCGUGAAGGAAGAAGUAUCUCGGUAUGUAAACUUCUAUCAGCAGGGAAGAAAAUGACGGUACCUGACUAAGAAGCCCCGGCUAACUACGUGCCNGCAGCCGCGGUAAUCUGAGCGGGCGUGGCAAGGC
rnacentral:rRNA from 1 species